UACGGAGGGUGCGAGCGUUGUCCGGAAUCAUUGGGCGUAAAGGGCGCGUAGGUGGCCUGUUAAGCGUGCGGUGAAAGCUCGGGGCUCACCCCGAGUCGGCCGUGCGAACUGGUGGGCUUGAGCACUGUAGAGGCAGGCGGAAUUCCGGGUGUAGCAGUGAAAUGCGUAGAGAUCGGGAGGAACAUCUGUGGCGAAGGCGGCCAUCUGGACCAGCACUGACACUGAGGCACGAAAGCGUGGGGAGCAAACAGG
rnacentral:rRNA from 1 species